AUUGAACGCUGGCGGCAGGCCUAACCCAUGCAAGUCGAGCGGAGCGGCGGACGGGUGAGUAAUGCCUAGGAAUCUGCCUGGUUUUGGGGGAUAACGUCCGGACACGGGCGCUAAUACCGCAUACUCUCAGAUGAGCCUAGGUAGGAUUAGCUAGUUGGUGGGGUAAAGGCCUACCAAGGCUCCCAUCCGUAACUGGUCUGAGAGGAUGAUCAGUCACACUGGAACUGAGACACGGUCCAGACUCCGACGGGAGGCAGCAGUGGGGAAUAUUGGACAAUGGGCGAAAGCCUGAUCCAGCCAUGCCGCGUGUGUGAAGAAGGUCUUCGGAUUGUAAAGCACUUUAAGUUGGGAGGCGUUACCAACAGAAUAAGCACCGGCUAACAAAGUGCCAGCAGCCGCGGUAAUAC
rnacentral:rRNA from 1 species